rnacentral:rRNA from 1 species
CUACGGGGUGCUGCAGUGGGGAAUAUUGCACAAUGGGCGCAAGCCUGAUGCAGCCAUGCCGCGUGUAUGAAGAAGGCCUUCGGGUUGUAAAGUACUUUCAGCGGGGAGGAAGGGAGUAAAGUUAAUACCUUUGCUUAUUGACGUUACCCGCAGAAGAAGCACCGGCUAACUCCGUGCCAGCAGCCGCGGUAAUACGGAGGGUGCAAGCGGUAAUCGGAAUUACUGGGCGUAAAGCGCACGCAGGCGGUUUGUUAAGUCAGAUGUGAAAUCCCCGGGCUCAACCUGGGAACUGCACCUGAUACUGGCGAGCUUGAGUCUCGUAGAGGGGGGUAGAAUUCCAGGUGUAGCGGUGAAAUGCGUAGAGAUCUGGAGGAAUACCGGUGGCGAAGGCGGCCCCCUGGACGAAGACUGACGCUCAGGUGCGAAAGCGUGGGGAGCAAACAGGAUUAGAUACCCGUGUAGUC